UACGAAGGGGGCUAGCGUUGCUCGGAAUUACUGGGCUUAAAGAGUUCGUAGGCGGCGCAGAAAGUAGGGUGUGAAAGCCCUCGGCUCAACCGAGGAAUUGCGCUCUAAACUACUGUGCUUGAGGAAUCUAGAGGUGAGCGGAACUGAUGGUGGAGCGGUGAAAUGCGUUGAUAUCAUCAGGAACACCGGAGGCGAAGGCGGCUCACUGGGGAUUUUCUGACGCUGAGGAACGAAAGCCAGGGGAGCGAACGGG
rnacentral:rRNA from 1 species